rnacentral:lncRNA from 1 species
CUUGCAGUUUGAAUUUAUAUUUUAUUAUUUUGAAAUACAAAAAUUUAAAAACAUUUCAAAAUACACCAGUACAUGUUUGUUGUAAAAAUUUCACCUAGGAGGAUAUAAAAUAGAAAAGCCGAAUAUUCCUUCUAACUCUCCCCUCUACCUCAAUUCCCUUCAGAGGUAACACAGCAAAAAAAAACUGGGGAAAAGCAAACAACUUUCCAGACCUCUACUAUUCUAAAACACAAAGAGCAUUACAGCUUGCUAUGCAUUUUUUUUUUUGGGGGGGGGGGGUUGUUUUUUAGAGACGGAGUCUCCCUCUGUCACCCAGGCUGGAAUGCAGUGGUGUGAUCUCGGCUCACUGCAACCUCCACCUCCCCAGUUCAAGCGAUUCUCCUGCCUCAGCCUGCCGAGUAGCUGGGAUUACAGGCACGCGCCACCACGCCCAGCUAAUUUUUGUAGUUUUAGUAGAGACAGCGUUUCGCCACAUUGGCCAGGUUGGUCUCAAACUCCUGACCUCAGGUGAUCCGCCCUACUCAGCCUCCCAAAGUGCUGGGAUUACAGGCGCGAGUCACUGCGCCCAGCUGCUAUACAUUGUUAAACCUUUUGCUUUCUAGUUAAUAUGUCUUAGAGAUCACUGCAUGACCACAGUGCAGCAUCGCUUCAUUCUUUCCAACAGUUGCAUAAGAUCCUGUAGUAUGGAUGUGCUACACUUUAACAGUGCUGCUGUACACAUCCUGUUGUGCACACCCUUGUGCCCAGGUGCACAGUUCUGUUAAAUAGAAAGAUAUGAACAGGUUGAUGCCUCUAUACAUCCUUGUAUUUAUAUCUACUUCAGUGGCUGGCACAUGGUGGACCCUUGAUAAAAGCUUCUUGGAUAGAUAGGCAGAAACUAACUAGACACAGGUAUAAAAUGGAAGCGUUCAUAACCCAAAGUUCCUAAAAUUAGAAGUCAGAUCUUAAAUUGGUUAGUGAAUCAAGAUUCCAUUUGAUCCCAAGUUUUGUACCUCACAUCUAGAAGCUCUGAAAUAUUUCACUAAGUUUCCUCGUUUGGAAGAGUUGUGAGAUGAAUGAAAUUUCUUUCUUUACUGUUGAAGUUUUCUCAAGGAAUUUCAUGAAAUAAAGGGAGAAAGAAAAUGUAAGACUAAAGACUAAAUACUACCUGGACAGAUUAAAGGAGGAAGUUACAGGCACAUUUGCACUCAUCUGGGCUUUACAAAGUGAUAUUAAGUGCAUUUUAAUGUAAAAAUAUACACCAAAUAAACCCCUGCCCUCCACCCAUUCUACAGAUGACAUCCUUGGUGGGCGGCUGGAUAGGCACACAUCUUCACUGGGCUUGGAAUGGAGCCUUUCCUGCAGGCAGUGAGGAACAUGGCAAUUCUGUUCCUGAAGGUCCACAGGCAACUUGACCCAGUUAAGUACCACUGGCCUUGGAAACAAGUAGAUGCGGGGAAAGGCGAAAGUGAGGCCGACUCCACGGACCACUGCCUAUGAUGGGGCAGUCAUUGCGCAGUUUGGGAAACCAGCAGGAGGAACUCAGGAGUGGAUGACUUUAGGGGUAAAAGGUAUAGAAGAAGCAUGAACGAAUGUGUGAAUUUGUUGAAAGAAAAUGAUGUCUUUGAAUUUCCACAAGAAUGUUGCAAUUUCAUUUUUAAAUUUCGUAACAAAGGACCAGGCUUAGCUAAUAGUAUAACUAACAUUUAGGCCUGUGAAUACUCCCAAGCUAUGAGGGGACCCUUCAGUCAAAUAUUCACUGAGCAUGUGAGGGCCAGGCCCUGGGAGCUUACUUUUCAAAAGUGUACCAUAAACCAGCUGCCAAGCGAGAAGCUCCCCUGCUCCUGCCUGACAUCCCCGCUUGUAAUGCUGGCCUGGGUCCUGCCUGUCCACUGGUCACUCGAGUCACCAUUCUCCAGCUCCCCACAGACCAGCCUGGGCCCACCUCCUUCCACCUGAGUAGCUGAGAAUAAAGGUG